GGCCUUCCGCCGGGGCCGACGUCGACGGUCGACUGAGAGGCUGGAAGGCCGAAAGACCGGAAGGCGACCCUUGGAACCUGAUCCGGGUAAUGCCGGCGCAGGGAGCCUCGUCUCGUCAGGU
rnacentral:ncRNA from 1 species